AGACCUCAGGUCAGGUGAGGCCACCCGCUGAGUUUAAGCAUAUCAAUAAGCGGAGGAGAAGAAACUUACAAGGAUUCCCUUAGUAACGGCGAGCGAACCGGGAUGUGCCCAGCUUGAGAAUCGUGUGGUUGUGCCGCUCGAAUUGUAGUCUGGAGAAGCGUCCUCAGCGACGGACCAGGCUGGAGUCCGCUGGAAGGCGAUGCCAAGGAGGGUGAGAGCCCCAUCUUGCGUGGACCCUGUCGCACCACGAGGCGCUGUCUACGAGUCGGGUUGUUUGGAAAUGCAGCCCAAAUAGGGCGGUAAAUUCCGUCCAAGGCUAAAUAUGGGCGAGAGACCGAUAGCGAACAAGUACCGCGAGGGAAAGAUGAAAAGGACUUUGAAAAGAGAGUCAAAAAGUGCUUGAAAUUGUCGGGAGGGAAGCGGAUGGGGGCCGGCGAUGUGCUCCGGCCGGAUGUGGAACGACUUAAUAGCCGGGACACUGCUCGGCUCGGGGCAUGGACCGUUGCUGGUUGCACCGAUGGCUAAAGCCCUUGCACAUGUUUGUGCAUGAGGACUUGAUGUCGGUGUGUCUGGGAUCCAGCGUGCAUCACCAUGGCGGCGCCUUUAGCGCCCGCGCGCCCUUGCACUGGCUUGUGGGCUCCCCAUUCGACCCGUCUUGAAACACGGACCAAGGAGUCUGACAUGCGUGCGAGCCGAUGGGUUUGGAUACCUGGAAGGCGCAAGGAAGCUGAUUGGUGGGAUCCCCCUUGUGGGGUGCAUCGCCGACCGACCCUGAUCUUCUGUGAAGGGUUCGAGUGGGAGCAUGCCUGUCGUGACCCGAAAGAUGGUGAACUAUGCCUGAGCGGGGCGAAGCCAGAGGAAACCCUGGUGGAGGCCCGCAGCGUUACUGACGUGCAAAUCGUUCGUCUGACUUGGGUAUAGGGGCGAAAGACUAAUCGAACCAUCUAGUAGCUGGUUCCCUCCGAAGUUUCCCUCAGGAUAGC
rnacentral:rRNA from 1 species